AAGUCGCUGACUGGUGGAGGAAUCGUUGUUACCUCGCUCGUUUUCGUCUCCAUUCGCUGCACUUUGGAAGGUAACAACUCCUCUUCUCUCAUUUCAUUUUUAUUUCAGUUAAUUUGUUCUCUGUUUGGUGAAGUAGUUGCAUAUCUAUAUUUGUUUCUUUCCGGUUGAACUCCCUUAGUGCUAUAAUGCAUGAAUUAGGAUGAUGUAGUAGCUAGUUUUAUGGUGCAAUGUCCUCAUUUCUCACUGUCUGUUGUUGCUUUGGUUUGAGAAUGAGAAAACAGUGGAAACUUCAUGUAUUUUGCUUCACACCCUUACCCCUCAAUUGAAGAAAAGUGUUCUUGUAUGUUUAUUUUGAGUAAUAUUUUAGCUAGAUUAAUUAAUUUCUUGAAAUCGUGAUUGUUUCUUUUGUUAAAAUUUCCCUUAGAAUUGUAUCUAAGUGUUAAGGUAUGUCUUUUUUUUUUUUUUUUAUUUCAGAAUGUGAAAUUAUUGUUUAAAAUAGUAAUAUGGGUUUGUGUAAUGAGACAGCCUUAACCUCUAUGUUUUAAUUUGUUACUAUCGAAAUG
rnacentral:lncRNA from 1 species